rnacentral:rRNA from 1 species
UUAAUGGAAUUGACGGAAGGGCACCACAAGAAGUGGGGCCUGCGGCUUAAUUUGACUCAACACGGGACAACUCACCAGGCCCGGACACCCGAAGGAUUGACAGAUUGAGAGCUCUUUCUUGAUUGGGUGCGUGGUGGUGCAUGGCCGUUCACAGUUGGUGGAACGAUUUGUCUGGUUAAUUCCGAUAACGAACGAGACUCUAGCCUGCUAACUAGGCGAUUCCGGCAUCCUCGGCGCAGCCGGCGACUCACAAUCUUCUUAGAGGGACAGGUGGCAUCUAGCCACACGAAACUGAGCCAUAACAGGUCUGUGAUGCCCUUAGAUGUUCUGGGCUGCACGCGCGCCACACUGAAGGGAUCAGCGUGUGUUUUCCUGGCCCGAGAGGGCCGGGCAACCCGUUGAACCUCCUUCGUGCUAGGGAUUGGGGCUUGCAAUUGUUCCCCACCAACGAGGAAUUCCCAGUAAGCGCGAGUCACUCAGCUCGCGUUGAUUACGUCCCUGCCCUUUGUCCACACCGCCCGUCGCUACUACCGAUUGAACGAUUCAGUGAGGUCCCCGGACCAGCGCGCGGCUUCGCUACGGCGUGGCCGAUGUCGCCGGGAAGACGACCGAACUCGAUCGUUUAGAGGAAGUAAAAGUCGUAACAAGGUUUCC